AAGACCUUGCGCUUUUGGAGCGGCCGAUGUCUGAUUAGCUUGUUGGUGAGGUAAAAGCUUACCAAGGCUUCGAUCAGUAGCUGGUCUGAGAGGACGACCAGCCACACUGGGACUGAGACACGGCCCAGACUCCUACGGGAGGCAGCAGUGGGGAAUUUUGGACAAUGGGGGCAACCCUGAUCCAGCCAUGCCGCGUGAGUGAAGAAGGCCUUCGGGUUGUAAAGCUCUUUCAGCCGGAACGAAACGGUUACGGUUAAUACCCGUGACUACUGACGGUACCGGAAGAAGAAGCACCGGCUAACUACGUGCCAGCAGCCGCGGUAAUACGUAGGGUGCGAGCGUUAAUCGGAAUUACUAGGCGUAAAGCGUGCGCAGGUGGUUUUGUAAGUCAGAUGUGAAAUCCCCGGGCUCAACCUGGGAACU
rnacentral:rRNA from 1 species